rnacentral:lncRNA from 1 species
UACCAGCCCUACCAGCCCUAGUACAUGGUGUUACAGCCCUACCAGCCCUACCAGCCCUAGUACAUGGUGUUACAGCCCUACCAGCCCUACCAGCCCUACCAGCCCUAGUACAUGGUGUUACAGCCCUACCAGCCCUACCAGCCCUACCAGCCCUAGUACAUGGUGUUACAGCCCUACCAGCCCUACCAGCCCUAGUACAUGGUGUUACAGCCCUACCAGCCCUACCAGCCCUAGUACAUGGUGUUACAGCCCUACCAGCCCUACCAGCCCUACCAGCCCUAGUACAUGGUGUUACAGCCCUACCAGCCCUACCAGCCCUACCAGCCCUAGUACAUGGUGUUACAGCCCUACCAGCUCUACCAGCCCUAGUACAUGGUGUUACAGCCCUACCAGCCCUACCAGCCCUACCAGCCCUAGUACAUGGUGUUACAGGCCUACCAGCCCUACCAGCCCUACCAGCCCUAGUACAUGGUGUUACAGCCCUACCAGCUCUACCAGCCCUAGUACAUGGUGUUACAGCCCUACCAGCCCUACCAGCCCUACCAGCCCUAGUACAUGGUGGUACAGCCCUACCAGCCCUACCAGCCCUAGUACAUGGUGUUACAGCCCUACCAGCCCUACCAGCCCUAGUACAUGGUGUUACAGCCCUACCAGCUCUACCAGCCCUAGUACAUGGUGUUACAGCCCUACCAGCCCUACCAGCCCUACCAGCCCUAGUACAUGGUGGUACAGCCCUACCAGCCCUACCAGCCCUAGUACAUGGUGUUACAGCCCUACCAGCCCUACCAGCUCUACCAGCCCUAGUACAUGGUGUUACAGCCCUACCAGCCCUACCAGCCCUACCAGCCCUAGUACAUGGUGUUACAGCCCUACCAGCCCUACCAGCCCUACCAGCCCUAGUACAUGGUGGUACAGCCCUACCAGCCCUACCAGCCCUAGUACAUGGUGUUACAGCCCUACCAGCCCUACCAGCCCUAGUACAUGGUGGUACAGCCCUACCAGCCCUACCAGCCCUAGUACAUGGUGUUACAGCCCUACCAGCCCUACCAGCCCUACCAGCCCUACCAGCCCUAGUACAUGGUGUUACAGCCCUACCAGUCUACCAGCCCUACCAGCCCUAGUACAUGGUGUUACAGCCCUACCAGCUCUACCAGCCCUACCAGCCCUAGUACAUGGUGUU